AUGGAAAGGAAAGUUCUUGCACUCCAGGCGAGGAAGAAAAGGACAAAGGCGAAAAAACCCGGCAAAAAACCAGACCCUGUACCGCGGGGAGGUGCGUCCAAGCAGAAUGACUCUCCUAUCCCAGACCAGGAUGAGGAGAUACUGGGCUCUGAUGACGAGGAGCAGGAGGAUCCCAACGACUACUGUAGAGGAGGUUACCACCAUGUGAAGAUAGGAGACCUGUUCAAUGGAAGAUACCAUGUGAUCAGGAAGCUGGGCUGGGGACAUUUCUCCACUGUAUGGCUGGCCUGGGACAUACAGGGGAAGCGUUUUGUGGCCAUGAAGGUGGUGAAGAGUGCAGAGCACUACACUGAGACGGCCCUGGAUGAGAUCAAGCUGCUGAGAUCGGUGAGGAACACGGACCAGAACGACCCCAGCAGAGAGAAGGUGGUUCAGCUACUAGACGACUUCAAGAUCUCUGGCAUGAACGGAAGUCAUGUCUGUAUGGUGUUUGAGGUUUUGGGUCAUCACCUGCUGAAGUGGAUCAUCAAGUCUAACUACCAGGGCCUUCCUCUGCCCUGUGUCAAGAGCAUCAUUCGACAGGUUCUCCAGGGGCUGGACUACCUCCACUCAAAGUGUAAGAUCAUCCACACAGACAUCAAGCCAGAGAACAUCUUGUUGACUGUUAACGAGCCCUACAUUAGGAAUAUGGCUGCUGAAGCUACGGAGUGGCAGAGGACAGGAGCUCCACCCCCCUCUGGAUCUGCAGGUACAGACACACCACAAAGAAGUAGACACAUGUAUACAUCCUACGAUAGGAAGAUGAUGUCAAAGAACAAGAAGAAGAAGAUGAAGAAGAAACAGCGGAAGCAGGCAGAGAUGUUAGAGAAGAGGAUUCAGGAGAUGGAGGGAGCGCCGGAGGGAGGAGAGGAGGAGGGGGAAGAGGAGACUGAAGGGAUAACCACAGACUCCCCCCCGCCAACCUCCGACACGCUACAGGACAUUGCUAAUGGUAUAAAUAUUGUUUUGUUCCUCUCCUUUUUCUCUCUCCACUUUCUACCCUCUUCUCUCUUUUUAGAUAAAAUAGCAACAGGCAGUCUGUUGGUCAACCCUCUGGAACCUCUCAAUGCAGACAAGAUCCAGAUCAAAAUAGCUGACCUGGGGAAUGCCUGCUGGGUGCACAAGCACUUUACAGACGACAUCCAAACUCGUCAGUACCGUUCUCUGGAGGUGCUGAUGGGAGCCGGCUACGGGACGCCUGCUGAUAUCUGGAGCACUGCCGCAAUGGCUUUUGAGCUGGCUACAGGAGACUACCUGUUUGAGCCUCACUCUGGGGAGGACUACUCUAGAGAUGAAGAUCACAUAGCUUUGAUCAUUGAGUUGUUGGGUAAAGUUCCUAAGAAGCUGAUCCUGGCUGGAAAAUACUCCAAGGAGUUCUUCACCAAGAAAGGUGACCUGAGGCACAUUACCAAGCUGAAGCCAUGGGGUCUGUUGGAGGUGUUGGUGGAGAAGUAUGAGUGGUCUAAAGAGGAGGCAGCUACCUUCGCUAGCUUCCUUUUCCCAAUGUUGGACCUGGUACCAGAGAAGAGAGCUACGGCUGCAGAGUGCCUCCGACACGCAUGGAUCACCCCCUAGAGGAGCCACAGCGCUACUACAGCCAACAAGCAGCUCAUACAGUACACACAUGCAUACAUACAUUAACAUAUGUACAUACACACAAACAUACAUACAUACGUACUCACAAGCAUUCACACACAUAUAGAUACACAUUAAGAGGAAGCCGUUGCCAGCACCAUGCCUGCAUUGCCUCCCUAAUGGCUCAACACACGCACAAACCACGCUAGACUGGCUACUGAAGCCCUACUGGUGGCCUUCAUAGAAAACACUGGUUCCAGAUAAAUAAACACAAGGAAGCCCGAUCCA
ensembl:lncRNA